rfam:Tncultured thaumarchaeote annotated genomic contig, clone 34p11
AAUCCGGUUGAUCCUGCCGGACCCGACCGGUAUCGGGGUGGGGCUAAGCCAUGCAAGUCGUACGUCCCCCAGCCACGUGGGGGGCGUGGCGCACGGCUCAGUAGUACGCAGCUAACCUACCCUAAGGAGGGGGAUAAUCCCGGGAAACUGGGGCUAAUCCCCCAUAGACCUAGGGUACUGGAAGGUCCCUAGGUCGAAAGGGACUGGCCGGCAUGCCGGCCAGUCCGCCUUAGGAUGGGGCUGCGUCCGAUCAGGUAGUUGGUGGGGUAAAGGCCCACCAAGCCUAUGACCGGUGCGGGCUCUGAGAGGAGGAGCCCGGAGAUGGACCCUGAGACAAGGGUCCAGGCCCUACGGGGCGCAGCAGGCGCGAAACCUUCGCAAUGCCCGAAAGGGUGACGAGGCUACCCCGAGUGCCGUCCGCUGAGGACGGCUUUUGCCGGGUCUAAAAAGCCCGGCGAAUAAGGGGAGGGCAAGUCUGGUGUCAGCCGCCGCGGUAAUACCAGCUCCCCGACUGGUCGGGACGAUUAUUGGGCCUAAAGCGUCCGUAGCCGGCCCUGUGUGUGGUCCGUUAAAUCCAGCGGCUCAACCGCUGGGCUGCGGAUCAUACUACAGGGCUAGGGGGCGGGAGAGGCCGGGGGUACUCCGCGGGUAGGGGUAAAAUCCGCUGAUCCGCGGAAGACCAACAGUGGCGAAGGCGCCCGGCCAGAACGCGCCCGACGGUGAGGGACGAAAGCCAGGGGAGCGAACCGGAUUAGAUACCCGGGUAGUCCUGGCCGUAAACGAUGCUCGCUAGGUCUUGGCGAAGCUUAGGGCUUCGCCAGGGCCGCAGGGAAGCCGUUAAGCGAGCCGCCUGGGGAGUACGGCCGCAAGGCUGAAACUUAAAGGAAUUGGCGGGGGAGCACCACAAGGGGUGAAGCCUGCGGUUUAAUUGGAGUCAACGCCCGGAACCUUACCAGGGGUGACGGCAGGAUGAAGGUCAGGCUAAAGACCUUACCUGACAAGCCGAGAGGAGGUGCAUGGCCGUCGCCAGCUCGUGCUGUGAAGUGUCCUGUUAAGUCAGGCAACGAGCGAGACCCUCGCUGCCAGUUGCUUCCCCACUCCGAAAGGGGUGGGGAGGAAACUGGCAGGACCGCCGCCGAUAAGGCGGAGGAAGGAGGGGGCUACGGCAGGUCAGUAUGCCCCGAAACCCCUGGGCCACACGCGGGCUGCAAUGGUGGGGACAAUGGGAUCCGAACCCGAAAGGGGGAGGUAAUCCCGAAACCCCACCGUAGUUGGGAUCGAGGGCUGCAACCCGCCCUCGUGAACCUGGAAUCCCUAGUAAUCGCGGGUCACCAUCCCGCGGUGAAUACGUCCCCGCUCCUUGCACACACCGCCCGUCGCUCCACCCGAGUGGGCCCCCGGCGAGGUGACAUCCUGCGUGGUGUCAUCGAACCGGGGGUCCGCGAGGGGGGAGAAGUCGUAACAAGGUGGCCGUACCGGAAGGUGCGGCCGGAUCACCUCCG